GCUUCCGGGACUGUUGUACCAUGCCUGACGACGCUAGUCUCCAAAUAUGGCGCCCCAACUCAAAAAGGAACAAUCCUGGGUAUCUUUCGGUCUUUGGGUGCUCUGGCUCGUGCUUUGGGCCCAUUGCUGUCAGCUACAGUCUACUGGUGGGCAGGUCCUGUGGUCUGCUACUGUAUUGGUGGCUGCCUGUUCAUCUUUCCACUGCUCAUCCUCAGGAACCUGUACAGAACAGUUGGGGACAUGGUCAAAUAAGAUCAUUUCUCCACUGAUGUAGAUUAGAGACAACUAUAGUGAUUGUGCAGUGUUUGGAAAGUUGUCUUUCAAAAGUGUGGCAACGUGUGUGUUGUUUGCUCAGAUUAUUAUUCAGUGUGAUGAAGUUGUCUUCAUAACACCUAAUCACAAGGCCACUAACCAUGUGAUUAUCUUGUUGCCAUUUUACUCCAUAGCAGCUUCCUUUUUCUUCUGUAAGAGAUUGUUUUCACAUUUUUUGGUUUGCUGUCUGUACAUUAUAGAUGUAUAAUUUGUAUUAAGAUAUUGUUGCGAAUUUAUAAGUGAUACCAUUUGCAUUUAGAACCAGUGUGAAUGUUGUGAAAUGCCUACUGUUGGCCUUCUGUAAGCAUUUGUUUUGAACAUUGAGCAUUUAUUGUAGUAACAAAUGAAGAUUCUGAUUUUGUCUUUUGCUUGUUUGCUCGUUUGAACGUUGUAAUUCCUCAGCACCAGUUCUCACUAUUGAAAUUUUUAUGGUGCGUUAGCGUAAUGCAAAACAGUAUUUAUUGCCCUAGCGUCAAAACAUAUUAAAGUCCUUCUACCUUUUUUUCUAAAUAUUAUUGUCUCUCAUGAAAUGGCACAUUGCAUCAGAUUAUUCCCAAAGAAAUUAUUCUUGCUGCAGUCUGUUACUAUACUCCGAGCAUUUAUUUUUCUCUGUGUUUGUAUGUGUUCCAAUGUAUGUGCUUGCAUGUUCUGUAGUUGACUGAAUAUUAACUCACUGAAAUUCAAGAAACACCAAGAUGUGCCUAGAUCAACAUAAGCGCAGAAAGCAGAUGAGCAUAUCAGUUAAUGGUAGUUUAUCAAGAAACUAUGACACUUCUGCACAAGUUGACUUUGCUUGACACCAAGUAACCUACGUAAGCCUUCGAUUUAAAAAACUUGGUUGAAAAGGGAGGAGUCAUCGAACAUUGAGGGGUAGAAAUUUCGGAAGAGGCAAAAUCUAGCUACGAAGAUGAUAACAUUUACAUUUAUUUUAAGCUUAGUUACACUGCAGUUACUGGAGCAAUUUGUUGAAAGUAUAUGUCAUAGCUGGGUUUUGAAUAAAUUCCAGUGCAGUAGAAAGGGUAAUCAGAUGAACAUCCCAAAUGGCCCUGCAUAUUCCAGUUAUGGACAAAUGAGUGUUAUGUAAGCUAGCAGUUUAGUAUGAGGGGAGGCCAUGUACAGGUUCCGCCCUAAGAAACCGCGGACACAGUUCAUUUCAUUGAUCAUGUUCAUUGGCCAAUUGAAAUCAUUGGUGAGCAGAGUGCUUAAAAUAUUUUGACACAAUUGAUAGCAUACAUUCCAGACAUGCAAGAGUAACUGCAAUGAAAGGCAAUCGGAGGUUCGCACUGUGUUUGGGGACACUAUCUGAUAUGUGCACCAAGAAUAAAUAUUAUUAAAGUCAGACUGAAGGAUAUUAAACGUCUUUAGAAUUAGUAAUAUGGCAGUAAAUUAUGCAAUUGUAGGUGCAUGACGAAGCGCAUGGUAUUAGGGAAGCUGGGUAAUCAAAAACAAGCGGAUCAAUAUUCAGAGGUGACAGUUUUAGAAACGACAGUCUAUUCGAAACCUCAUGCAGUGCUUCUUGAAAACCUAAGCACCAAGUUUUGAUGGGUGUAUUUCAUUCGUGCUAAUGGUCAAAUCACUUACAAAAAGCCCUACGUGGGUGUCGCAUGAUGUGUUUCUGGGAGAACCCUACUGAUUGUUAUGAAAGAAGUUAGCAGAAACAGAAAUUAUAUGUGGGUUUACUGAGACCACUAUAGUCUAAUUAAAGUAGAACAUUUCGAUAUGCCAAAGGUAUGUGUUCUACGUACAUUUUCAAGAUUUGUGCAUCAGAUCAUUUUAGAACAUAUACUAUGUGUCUGGUGGUUACUGAUGCUAGCUGCUUUAGUGCCUAUCAAAUGACCCAUGAAAAAGCUUUCUCGGUGUAAAAUUGAGGUGCAAUUUCACAUGCUAAAUGGUACAUUUAUGCAUCUGUACUUUAGAUAGCACAGAAAACCUGUUUUAUUCUGUAUUGUAAUGUUUCAUAGCAAAUCCUCUGGUAGUUAUUGUUAUUACUUCUCCUGGCUUGUGAUGUAAUUAUUAGCUAAAACACAAAAUAUGUGCGCAUCCCUUUCUGUAGUUAUGAUCUGCUGAGUCAUAUACUUGUCAAGAGGAAGCCAAUCUAGUUGGGAACUUUGGGCUAGCACAAAAACAUUCGUGGGUUCGAUAUAUAAUACACGUGGGAUAGAUUGUACAGUUAGUGUUGGAGCACCAGUAAGCAAGACACUAUUUUCAAUAGGUUACACAUCAGGUUGUCAGGCUUGGGAGAUGUGCUAUGGUCUUUCAUCUCAUUCCGCACUUUGAGGCACAUUCAAUAUAUUUGUUGAUAGCCAAAGGAUUAAAACUGGACAACUGGAAAGACACAUUGUGUGCUCAGUAUCAGUGCUACAUAAUUGCCAAAACAGCACACAUUCAUGCAUUCACCAAAAUUCGAAGGCUUUGUAAUCACGUACAGUCAGCUGAAAGCCAGGGUAUUGGCUAUGGUCUAGCCUUGCUGCAGCCUCAAUUAAGCAGCUUGCAGUGAAGAACUCCAUAACACAGUUGUGGCUAUUGGCACUGCGAGCAUGUGCAUUUGUGUGGCCAAAGUUUACUUCAGAGAACUGCUCACUGCACCAGGAAAUAACAUAGUGAAACCGGAAUUUAAAAACCUUGUUGCAAAAUGCACGAGUAAAUGAAUGGCAGCACAAGACAGGUCCUAUGUACUCGUAUCAGAAUUUUCCAUGGCAUGGCGAGGUCAGAGUGUAAUUUUAUUUCCUGGAUACUUCUUCAAAAUACGACCUUAGCCUAGAAGCUAUGCCAGCAUGUCUAUUUGUGUCAGCAAUUCAACUUGAAAAUCAUAGGGAUCUCAAUACUCCCCCCUGCCACUCCCUCGUCCCUUCUUUUUUUUUUUUUUUUUUAACAUGAAAAAAAAAAAUGUGGGAUCAAGGGCUAAACAUAUUGUGAUGUUUUGUGUGGCACAACUGUGCUAGUGCAUUUGUGGAGCAUUUGUUUACCAUAGUCUAUUUAUUAUUGUUAUUACUAUUACUUAUAUUACUUGUCGUAAGUACCCUGCAGCCCAUUGUAUGUCAUAGGUUCUAGAGUGAGCUAUUGGGCAGUCAUCAUUUCGUCUGGGCUCAGUCUUGCGAUUGAAUUCACAUGUUGUAAAGUUGCAUUUGGCUCAUGCAAAGGCACGUAAGUUCCCCACGUUGUGCUGAAUCAAUUGGAAUUUUGUUCCUCAACAAAGCAUGAGGGGAAAGUGGGUAAGUGAGAAGUGUGACUUGUUUCCAAACAUGUGAUUGCUAUCAAUACUGCUCAGCCUCAUUGAAGAUGUGCUAGUAUUUUUUGUCUGUUAUGGUGCAACUUCAAGGUUGCCCAUGUAUAACUUGCAGCGCCAGCUCAUACAGUUGUACUAAAGCGCCAUUUCCUGUUGUCAUGCACGAAUAUUUUAUAAUAUAGCCACCCAAGAUCAGUUAUAGCAUUUUUGUAACUGACCUUCAGGUUGACGGCUUCUAACUACUACGUAUUGAUAGCCUUAUAAUGUAACUGGAAAUUUUUUCCUAGCUUAUUUAAUGCACCACAUAUGCAAUAUGAAAUACAAGAUAAA